GAUGAACGCUGGCGGCGUGCUUAACACAUGCAAGUCGAGCGAGAAGUUUUGAAAAGAUUCUUCGGAUGAAAUUUAAAAUGGAAAGCGGCGGACGGGUGAGUAACGCGUAGGCAACCUGCCCCAUACAAAGGGAUAGCAUUUGGAAACGAAUAUUAAUACCUUAUGAAACUUAACUAGUGCAUGCUAGGUAGGUCAAAGAUUUAUCGGUAUGGGAUGGGCCUGCGUCUGAUUAGCUAGUUGGUGAGGUAACGGCUCACCAAGGCGACGAUCAGUAGCCGAGCUGAAGAGGUGAACUGCAAAAUUGGAACAGAGACACGGUCCGAACACCUUCGGGAGGCAGCGGUGGAGUAAAUUGACCAAUGGGAGAAACCCUAAUGGAGCAACGGCGCGUGAACGAUGAAGGCCUUUGGGAAGUAAAGUUCUAUUCUAGGAAAUAAAAACUGACGGUAACCUAGGAGAAAGCCCCGGCUAACUCCGUG
rnacentral:rRNA from 1 species